UUUAGGAUUUGGUUUAGGGUUUAAGAUUUGAUUGGGGUUUGAUUUAAGGUUUGUUUAGGAUUUAGGAUUUGGUUUAGGAUUUAGGAUUUUAUUAGGGUUUAAGAUAUAAUUAGUUUUGGCCUAAAGUUUGAAUGAAGUCCAAUAGGAUUUUAACUAGAAUUAAAUUAAGAUUGAAUUGAGAUGUAUUUGAGUGAUAUUUGUGAUCCUUCUAAUAUUUCUUUAAGAAUUCUUAUUAUUGUUUGAAAUUUCUUUGAGGUUUUUUUGAAUUUAAUUAAGCUUGCUUAGAAUUAUUAUGGUCUAAUUAGAGUAUUGUUAGUAUUAUAUUAGAAUUAGAAUUUUGUUAUUACAAUUUCCAUUCUUCUUUCCACAGUCAGGUGCUUGGAGCAUUCUCAAGCAAGACUUCUCUUAUUAUGACAACGCU
rnacentral:lncRNA from 1 species